CGCCCAGCCCGGAGCCCGCCUCUACUGAGGACCUUGACCUCGCACGGACCUCGCCGCCUCGUUUAGCUCUCCCUGACCUGCUUUUGAACCCGCUAAUCCUGUCCCGAACUCUCGCCCCGAGGCGAUCCUUCGCCCCGGCCCUGGCGCGCUAAUUCCCGCUGACCCCACCGCCCCGCGGCCUCUCUCGGCUUGCCCGGCUUUGAAGCGCGGCGAGGGCUGCAAGCCUCCGAAUUCGGGGCGCUCUGACGCGCAGGCUACGACCGCCCCGCAUCACCCCGACCCAUGCUUCUGCGCCCUCCGAACGCAACAGCCCCGUGUUGCAAGCAUUCUUCUCUUGCUUUCCCUUGUUUCCCCUUAGUUUAAUUCGUUUCUUUUAGAAAUCUAUCAGACCCAUAAAGAUCAAAACCUUAGGUAACACCCUUAACUGGUGACGAUGUGGGGAAGCUCGCACUUUGACACCAGACUGGCAAACAGUGAGGGCGCACAAGGGUAAGGCGGAGACCGGCUUCCAGGAAGGAGCAAGCGCCAGGGCGCGGGCGAAGGCGGAAAAGGCAGGACGGAGAACAGAGGACAGUG
rfam:Camelus ferus unplaced genomic scaffold scaffold1577, whole genome shotgun sequence.